rnacentral:rRNA from 1 species
GAUGAACGCUAGCGGCAGGCCUAACACAUGCAAGUCGAGGGGUAGAGUUCUUCGGAACUUGAGACCGGCGCACGGGGUGCGUAACGCGUAUGCAAUCUACCUUAUACAGGGGAAUAGCCCAGAGAAAUUUGGAUUAAUGCCCCAUAGUAUUAUUGAAUGGCAUCAUUUGAUAAUUAAAGUUCCAACGGUAUAAGAUGAGCAUGCGUCCCAUUAGUUAGUUGGUAAGGUAAACGGCUUAACCAAGACAAUGAUGGUAGGGGUCCUGAGAGGGAGAUCCCCCACACUGGUACUGAGACACGGACCAGACUCCUACGGGAGGCAGCUAGGUGA